rnacentral:misc_RNA from 1 species
CAACCAUCAAGCACAGCUUGGAACAUGGGCGUCCCCCGCGCCAGCGCGCAGGGGUGCCCCGAAACCGUCGGCAGAGUCACGCGGACCCGCCGGGCGUAGCAGAAAAGGAAGGGCCCACGGCCGACCCCUCACGUCCAAUGCGACCGCGCCCCGCGCCGUAAAAACAAUGGCCCGCCAGGGUCGAACACCAAA